GAAAAUUUUCAUUUCUUUUCUUUGGGAUUGCCCGUGUUAUGCUUUCCCCAAAUACUCAUUUUCAUUUUCGUUCGUCCACACCCAAAAUGCCUCUCUUUAAUUUUGUUUCCGUUCACUCACUUUCGAGUUUGUUCGUUAACACCUAUUCACUUUGAUCUCGUUGUAGGUCUCAAACCUCUCUUCGAUUUCAUUCACGCCCAAGCUUCAAUCUCUCAGCCACAAAUCUCUUGGCUUCAUCUAGGUCUCUCUUGGUGGUGCUAUUGCUCUUUCUUCGCCAGGUAAUGGGUUAUUUCGAUUUUGAUAUAUGGGUCUGUUGAUUUUUUUACCCUUUUUGAGGUUUUGGCUUCGUCGGUUGUUAUUGGUUUUGUUUCUUUGUCAAUAACGAUGAAUGUUUGGGGGAUUUUUUUUAAUGAGCGAUUUGUAUGGGAGUUGUGUUUUGCAAGUGAUGUCUUUCUUAUUUCAAGAACAAAAACAGUAGCAACUUAACUAGCUAUGUAAUAAUCUCCACAUCGAUGACAACUUUGUCCAUAUAUGUACAAAUCCAGAUCUGUCCUCCUGGAAAAUGUCUAAUUUUUCUUCACAAGUGGAUAAAUAUAUAUAUCUACUUUUCAUUUUCA